rfam:Triticum urartu cultivar G1812 contig373553, whole genome shotgun sequence.
GAUGUACUCUCUCCAUUCUGAAUUACUUGUCGCAAGUAUGGAUGUAUCUAGAUGUAUUUUAGUUCUAGAUACAUCCAUUUCUGCGACGAGUAAUUUGGAACGGAUGGAGUAUACA